CGAGGGGCAUCGGGAGGGAAGCUUGCUUUCCUUGCCGGCGACCGGCGCACGGGUGAGUAACACGUAUGCAACCUGCCCUCUUCAGGGGGACAACCUUCCGAAAGGGAGGCUAAUCCCGCGUAUAUCGGUUUCGGGCAUCCGUUAUCGAGGAAAGAUUCAUCGGAAGAGGAUGGGCAUGCGGCGCAUUAGCUUGACGGCGGGGUAACGGCCCACCGUGGCGACGAUGCGUAGGGGUUCUGAGAGGAAGGUCCCCCACACUGGUACUGAGACACGGACCAGACUCCUACGGGAGGCAGCAGUGAGGAAUAUUGGUCAAUGGGAGAGAUCCUGAACCAGCCAAGCCGCGUGAGGGAAGACGGCCCUAUGGGUUGUAAACCUCUUUUGUCGGAGAACAAAACCCGGGACGAGUCCCGGACUGCGUGUAUCCGAAGAAAAAGCAUCGGCUAACUCCGUGCCAGCAGCCGCGGUAAUACGGAGGAUGCGAGCGUUAUCCGGAUUUAUUGGGUUUAAAGGGUGCGUAGGCGGUCCGUUAAGUCAGCGGUAAAAUUGCGGGGCUCAACCCCGUCGAGCCGUUGAAACUGGCAGACCUUAGNUCGCGAGAAGUACGCGGAAUGCGCGGUGUAGCGGUGAAAUGCAUAGAUA
rnacentral:rRNA from 1 species